CACGAACGCUGGCGGCGUGCCUAAUACAUGCAAGUCGAGCGGAAGUUGAAGAGCUUGCUCUUCAACUUUAGCGGCGGACGGGUGAGUAACACGUGGGCAACCUGCCCUGCAGAUCGGGAUAACUCCGGGAAACCGGUGCUAAUACCGAAUAGUUUUCGCCACCUCCUGGUGGCGUACGGAAAGACGGUUUCGGCUGUCACUGCAGGAUGGGCCCGCGGCGCAUUAGCUAGUUGGUGGGGUAACGGCCCACCAAGGCGACGAUGCGUAGCCGACCUGAGGGGGUGAUCGGCCACACUGGGACUGAGACACGGCCCAGACUCCUACGGGAGGCAGCAGUAGGGAAUCUUCCGCAAUGGACGAAAGUCUGACGGAGCAACGCCGCGUGAGUGACGAAGGUUUUCGGAUCGUAAAACUCUGUUGUGAGGGAAGAACAAGUACCAACUAACUACUGGUACCUUGACGGUACCUCACCAGAAAGCCACGGUUAACUACGUGCCAGCCGCCGCGGUAAAAC
rnacentral:rRNA from 1 species